rnacentral:rRNA from 1 species
UACGAAGGGGGCUAGCGUUGUUCGGAAUUACUGGGCGUAAAGCGCGCGCAGGCGGCUAUCCAAGUCAGUGAUGAAAGCCCGGAGCUCAACUCCGGAACUGCCAUUGAAACUGUUUAGCUUGAGGACGAGAGAGGUGAGUGGAAUUCCCAGUGUAGAGGUGAAAUUCGUAGAUAUUGGGAAGAACACCGGUGGCGAAGGCGGCUCACUGGCUCGUAUCUGACGCUCAGGCGCGACAGCGUGGGGAUCAAACAGG